CCUGCCUGAGAGGGGGGCUGGCCGGGCUGCACUGAGAGCGCUGGGGGGCAGUACCCCCAGGCUGGCGCCUGGCCUGCGCUGAGUGGUGCAGGUCAAUUCCCACGUGGAGAACCCUGCCCAGGCUGCUGCUGGCCUCUGCCUUCUGCACACCUGGCCUGGCUCCGGGGAGGGCCCCACCACAGGGACGUAGCCUAGGGCCUGCCCAUGGCCACAGACUUGGAAAAAUAGACAGAGAACCCUCCCAUCCCCCCUUCCUCCCAAGGCAGGGAUGAGUAGCCAGAGCCCCUCCUGCCUUCUCCCAGAUAAGGCGCAGCAGCCCGAAUCCCCAUAGCCAGAGUCCUGGGACUAGCGCUCUCCCAGCCAGGGAGCAGAGCAGCCCGAGCAAGGCACCUAGCUAGGCUGGCUGCUUCCUGCCAGAUCCCUCCUCCAGCCCACGGCUACCAGCACCCCAACUACAGCCCUCCACCCAUCCAGGGCACGGAGCCACCAGAGUUACCUGGCCACCCGCGGUGGGAGGCGUCAGAGCUGGCCGGCAGCACCACAGGUCAAGCCAGUUCAUCAGGACUGGGGUUGGCUGGAUAACAGUAACUGCCCUCUGAAUCCCACGUCCAUCAGAACCUUUGAUCAGCAUCCUUUUCACAACACAAGAAACCAAAUAUGAUCCAUGGAGAUGCUGGGCUGGGCCUGCCGCUGAGGUUCAGCUUCCAGUCACUUGAUCUUGCAGUCUUUGCUAGAUUAAUAAACUGUCUACCAUCAGAAAUCUUCUCCCCAUGUAGGCAACCCUAUGUGAUAUCAGUCUCCUGAGGGUAACAGAGGCGGAAAGGAAGGAGAUGCUGCAAGUGUCUGUGUAUAGACCCAGUCCUUAUGCUGCUAUGCUGUGUAUUGCAAUGAUGCCAGCAGAAUUAAUUCAGGAGUUGCAUGGGAAAGUGUCCUACCAUGGUGGAAGAAGUAUGACUUCCCUGCCCAGGAACCUUCUGCAAAGGAUUGCAGAGUACCUCCAUGAAAGUUUCCUAGAGAUCUCCAUGGA